rnacentral:misc_RNA from 1 species
UACGGAGGAUCCAAGCGUUAUCCGGAAUCAUUGGGUUUAAAGGGUCCGUAGGCGGGUCAAUCAGUCAGUGGUGAAAGUCUGCAGCUUAACUGUAGAAUUGCCAUUGAUACUGUUGACCUUGAGUAAUUAUGAAGUGGUUAGAAUGAGUAGUGUAGCGGUGAAAUGCAUAGAUAUUACUCAGAAUACCGAUUGCGAAGGCAGAUCACUAAUAAUACACUGACGCUGAUGGACGAAAGCGUAGGUAGCGAACAGG